rnacentral:rRNA from 1 species
GUAAAUUAAAUAAUUUUAGUUUAGUAUAAUUUUUAUAAAUUAAUAAAAUAAUAAUAAAUUUAUAUAUUUAAGUAAUAUUUUUAAAAAAUUAGUUAUUUUUAUAUUAAAAGUAUUGAAAAAGAAAAAUAAAAUUAUUUUAAAAAAAUUAUUUAAAUUUAAUUACCUUUUGUAUCAGGGUUUAUUAAAAUUAAUAAAUUUAUAGAUUUAUUUCUCGAAAUAAAAUGAUUUAAUUAAUUAAUAUAGUUAAUGUGUAAAUAUUAUUAUAAAUAAUUAAUUAGUAGUGAUAAAUUUAUCAACUUUUAUAUAUCUAGUUAUUUUAUAAAUAAAUUGAAUUUAAUUAAAAUUAUAUUUUAAUAAAUUAUUUAAUUAAUUUAUUAAAUAAUUUUAUAAAUAUUAUUAGGGAUAAACUUAAUAAUAAUAUUAAUAUAUAAAUUAUUUAUAAAUUAUAUUAUUAUAGAAAUAAAAAUUUUUAGUAAUAAAUAAUUUGUAAUAAUUAAAAUUUUAAAUAUAUAAUUUAAAUAAAAUUUAAUAGAUUAUAAAAUUAUUAAAUGAAAUUUUUUAAUUUAAGUAAUAAUGAUAAAAUUAGUAAAAUUAAAUUUAUAGAAUUAUAGAUUUAGUAUAGAUUAUUUUAAGGAAUUAGGCAAAUUUAUUUAUUCAACUGUUUAUUAAAAACAUAGUUUAAUAGAAUAUAAUAUUAAAUUAUUUCUGCUCAAUGAAUAUAUUUAAAUAGCUGCAGUAUUUUGACUGUACAAAGGUAGCAUAAUCAAUUGUCUUUUUAUUAAAGUCUAGAAUGAAAGAAUUCAUGAAAUAAUAACUGUCUCAAAAUAAAUAAAAUUUAAAAUUUAUUAUUAGUUAAAAUUCUAAUAUAUUAUUAAAAGACGAGAAGACCCUAUAGAAUUUUAUAAAUUUAUAAAUAUAAAAAUUUUUAAUUUUAUUUUAUUAUUGUAUAAAUUUAUUAUAUUGGGGGUAUAUAAAAAUUUAAAUAAUUUUUUAAAAAAAUAAACAAAAAUUUUUGUUUAAUUAUUAUCUAAUAUUAUUAAAUUUAAAUUAAAUUACCUUAGGGAUAACAGCGUUAAAUUUUUAAAGAGUUCAUAUUGAUAAAAAUUAUUGCGACCUCGAUGUUGAAUUAAAAUAAAUUAUUAUUGUAGAUAAUAAUAUAAUUUAGUCUGUUCGACUAUUAAAAUUUUACAUGAUUUGAGUUUAGAUCGGUGUAAGCCAGAUCGGAUUCUAUCUUUAAUUAAAUUAAAUAUUUUUGUACGAAAGGACUUAAUAUUUAUAAUAAUUAUAUAUAAUUUGAAUAAAAUUAAUAAA